rnacentral:rRNA from 1 species
AGUGAACGCUGGCGGUAUGCCUAACACAUGCAAGUCGAACGGCAGCACAGUAAGAGCUUGCUCUUACGGGUGGCGAGUGGCGGACGGGUGAGGAAUACAUCGGAAUCUACUUUUUCGUGGGGGAUAACGUAGGGAAACUUACGCUAAUACCGCAUACGACCUACGGGUGAAAGCAGGGGAUCUUCGGACCUUGCGCGAUUGAAUUAGCCGAUGUCGGAUUAGCUAGUUGGCGGGGUAAAGGCCCACCAAGGCGACGAUCCGUAGCUGGUCUGAGAGGAUGAUCAGCCACACUGGAACUGAGACACGGUCCAGACUCCUACGGGAGGCAGCAGUGGGGAAUCUUGGACAAUGGGCGCAAGCCUGAUCCAGCCAUACCGCGUGGGUGAAGAAGGCCUUCGGGUUGUAAAGCCCUUUUGUUGGGAAAGAAAAGCAGCAGGUUAAUACCCCGCUGUUCUGACGGUACCCAAAGAAUAAGCACCGGCUAACUUCGUG